rnacentral:rRNA from 1 species
GAUGAGCCAAGAUUGGUGCCCUUUAAGGCACUAAGCAAUAUUAAACUGAAGAGUUUGAUCAUGGCUCAGAUUGAACGCUGGCGGCAGGCUUAACACAUGCAAGUCGAGCGGAGAUGAGGUGCUU